rnacentral:rRNA from 1 species
UGUGUAGGUGGAUUCUUAAGUGCCUUGUGAAAUCCCACGGCUCAACCGUGGAACUGCUUGGCAUACUGGGAGUCUUGAGCCAUCUAGGGGCAACUGGAACAGACGGUGGAGCGGUGAAAUGCGUAGAUAUCGUCUGGAACGCCAAUGGUGAAGACAGGUUGCUGGGGAUGUGCUGACACUGAGACACGAAAGCCAGGGGAGCAAACGGGAUUAGAUACCCCGGUAGUCCUGGCCCUAAACGAUGUCCACUAGAUCGUAGAACUUUUGACGGUUUUAUGGUCGAAGUAAAAUGUUAAGUGGACCGCCUGGGAAGUACGGUCGCAAGGCUAAA